rnacentral:rRNA from 1 species
UACGUAGGGGGCUAGCGUUGUCCGGAAUCAUUGGGCGUAAAGCGCGCGUAGGCGGCCCGGUAAGUCCGCUGUGAAAGUCAAAGGCUCAACCUUUGAAUGUCAGCGGAUACUGCCGGGCUAGAGUCCGGAAGAGGCGAGUGGAAUUCCUGGUGUAGCGGUGGAAUGCGCAGAUAUCAGGAGGAACACCGAUGGCGAAGGCAGCUCGCUGGGACGGUACUGACGCUGAGGCGCGAAAGCGUGGGGAGCAAACAGG